rnacentral:misc_RNA from 1 species
AUCAUUAGUGAAGAUUCAAGGGCCAGCCAUACAGACGUACAAUAAGUGUGUCUCUGGCGGCUCGCAUCCACUAUACAUCCAUAAACCCGUGUGCACUGUUCUAAGGAGUAAGAAAGAAGAAGGGGAGGGGAGAGAGAGUGCAUGUGCUUUGCAUAGAACUCUCUCUCACUCUCCACUCUCUUUCUCUCUCCGGUUAAUUACAAACUCGUAUGGAUUUGUGUGAACGUGAGAUAUAUCGUUGGACCGUCACUGGCCAACAAAUAUAACACAACUUUCGACAACGGAUCUCUUGGUUCUCCCAUCGAUGAAGAACGCAGCGAAACGCGAUAGGUAAUGUGAAUUGCAGAAUUCCGUGAAUCAUCGAAUCUUUGAACGCACCUUGCGCUCUAUGGUAUUCCGUAGAGCAUGCCUGUUUGAGUGCCGUGAAUUCUCCCAUCCCAAGCGGUUUUUAUCAAAGAAUUGCUAGGCGAAGGGGUUGAGAUGGGCGUUAUUAUAACUGCUUUUUUUCUCUAGAAAAGCUCGCCCGAAAAACAGCUAACGCCUCUGGGCCACUUUGCAUCCGCUUCUCUGAGGGGAGAAGCGGCCAAGCGCGCUCUGAUCAUCAGGCAUAGCAUGAUACGUCAUUUGCUAUGCUGUAGGAGAGCAUUUGGUUGUGGUUAUACCGCGUGCGUCAUUUUUUUACUUGCAAAGAGGAAAAAAAAA